AUGUUGAAAAAUUAGCGGAUGACCUGUGGCUGGGGGUGAAAGGCCAAUCAAACCGGGAGAUAGCUGGUUCUCCCCGAAAGCUAUUUAGGUAGCGCCUCGUGAACUCAUCUCCGGGGGUAGAGCACUGUUUCGGCUAGGGGGCCAUCCCGGCUUACCAACCCGAUGCAAACUGCGAAUACCGGAGAAUGUUAUCACGGGAGACACACGGCGGGUGCUAA
rnacentral:rRNA from 1 species